GCUCAUAGCCAGAGUACUGAAUAGAUUAAGCAAGUUGUAAGGAUACCCGCUGAGAGGGUUGUUCAGGUUGGUCCAGGUUGCGCAGACCCGCAUUGUGGUGGCACCAACGAGCCUGACAGCACUUUCUAAAAGACAGCGUGCAAAGAGACACGGCCAAACAAAUAGGCUGAAGCUUUAACCUACCUCGGAAAUGUUUGCUCGCUUCUAAAACGCCCUCCUGAUCCUGAACAACCUCUCAGCUCUCCACGAAAGCAGGGACCGCAGCUCGCAGAAGCACAGCAUCUCCCCUGAGCAAGCCAACGGCAGGAGCAGCGGCAAGCACAGAGGUGAUGGGUUUCUUCGCAGGCGCACACACAUCACACCGGGAUAUAAGAUACCUGAGGACUGUUUCUUGUUUGCAGACUGCUGCAAGACAGAGGCGUAAUCAUCUAUUGCCAGAGCCAGACAAGGGGGAAGAGGAGAGGAGCGCUGUUGAAGUCUGAUUUGCAGAAAAGGCAAGUGUUGAGUUUUUAUUUAUGUGGAUGGUUUCAGUUUCAGAUGAAUUGGUGCAGUUGUUCACACAAUCAAUGACCAAUAUUCCGGGGGUUUAAGGCGCUUUGCAAAGUUAAAAGCAGUCGAAGUAGAAAAGAUCCAGUAGGAAUAUUGCAGGGGAGGUCGAAGAAUGGGAUAAAUCUGGCUUACUGUGUGGAGGUGUGAUUUAUUAUCUGUUUGCAGAAAUAAAUGAWUUUAUCACAUGGAUGUUAUUAGU
rnacentral:lncRNA from 1 species